rnacentral:rRNA from 1 species
UACGUAGGUGGCAAGCGUUGUCCGGAAUUAUUGGGCGUAAAGGGUUGGUAGGUGGUCUUGUUUGUCUAAGGUGAAACCCCAGGGCUUAACCCUGGAAGUGCCUUAGAAACGGCAAGACUAGAGUUCUAGAGGGGUUUGUGGAAUUCCCGGUGUAGCGGUGAAAUGCGUAGAGAUCGGGAGGAACACCAGCGGCGAAGGCGGCAAACUGGAUAGAUACUGACACUCAACAACGAAAGCGUGGGGAGCAAACAGG